rfam:Schizosaccharomyces japonicus yFS275 unplaced genomic scaffold supercont5.2, whole genome shotgun sequence.
GCUCCCGUGGCCUAAUCGGCUAGGGCAUAUGACUUCUAAUCAUGGGAUUGUGGGUUCGAGUCCCGCCGGGAGCU